rnacentral:rRNA from 1 species
UACGGAGGAUGCAAGCGUUAUCCGGAAUGAUUGGGCGUAAAGCGUUCGCAGGUGGCUGUGUAAGUCUGAUGUCAAAGAGCGAAGCUCAACUUCGUAAAGGCAGUGGAAACUACACGGCUAGAGUGCGUUCGGGGCAGAGGGAAUUCCUGGUGUAGCGGUGAAAUGCGUAGAGAUCAGGAAGAACACCGGUGGCGAAGGCGCUCUGCUAGGCCGCAACUGACACUGAGGGACGAAAGCUAGGGGAGCGAAUGGG